AGCGAACGCUGGCGGCAGGCCUAACACAUGCAAGUCGAACGAACUCUUCGGAGUUAGUGGCGGACGGGUGAGUAACACGUGGGAACGUGCCUUUAGGUUCGGAAUAACUCAGGGAAACUUGUGCUAAUACCGAAUGUGCCCUUCGGGGGAAAGAUUUAUCGCCUUUAGAGCGGCCCGCGUCUGAUUAGCUAGUUGGUGAGGUAAAGGCUCACCAAGGCGAUGAUCAGUAGCUGGUCUGAGAGGAUGAUCAGCCACAUUGGGACUGAGACACGGCCCAAACUCCUACGGGAGGCAGCAGUGGGGAAUCUUGCGCAAUGGGCGAAAGCCUGACGCAGCCAUGCCGCGUGAAUGAUGAAGGUCUUAGGAUUGUAAAAUUCUUUCACCGGGGACGAUAAUGACGGUACCCGGAGAAGAAGCCCCGGCUAACUUCGU
rnacentral:rRNA from 1 species